rnacentral:sRNA from 2 species
GUCACUUUACAUGAAAUAUCAAGAUUUUUUAAUCCCAUUUCACUCAUGUUUUGAUAAUUCUAGUCACUUUACACUUCCAUUCUGAUUCUGAUUCUACUAAAAUCAUGCCAAGAAAUGGACUGGGAUCAAAUCAAAUCAAAUCAAAUGUGUAAUUCAUGGUCCCACCGGCCAGUCUAGUGAUAGUUAUGAUAAUGAGAUGGUGGGAAUAAGAGAAGAAUUCUGAAGAGACAAGAUUAGAUAGAUCAAGAAGUUGAAUAUCUUGAAUAUAAUGCAGCUGAGAUAUUGAUUGAUCAAUAUAAGAAAAAGUAAAGUAUCUAGAUAAAUAAAAUCACUGA